AGAGUUUGAUCCUGGCUCAGGACGAACGCUGGCGGCGUGCUUAACACAUGCAAGUCGAGCGACAGCCUCUUCGGGGUGUAUGGAGCGGCGAACGGGUGAGUAACACGUGGGCAACCUGCCCUCAGCUCUGGGAUAACUCCGGGAAACCGGGGCUAAUACCGGGAUAUGACCACUCCUGGCAUCUGGGGUGGUGGAAAGUUCUUCGGCUGAGGAUGGGCCCGCGGCCUAUCAGCUUGUUGGUGGGGUUACGGCCCACCAAGGCGACGACGGGUAGCCGGCCUGAGAGGGCGACCGACCACACUGGGACUGAGACACGGCCCAGACUCCUACGGGAGGCAGCAGUGGGGGAAUAUUGCGCAAUGGGCGAAAGCCUGACGCAGCGACGCCGCGUGAGGGAUGAAGGCCUUCGGGUUGUAAACCUCUUUCAGCAGGGACGAAGCGAGAGUGACGGUACCUGCAGAAGAAGCACCGGCCAACUACGUGCCAGCAGCCGCGGUAAUACGUAGGGUGCAAGCGUUGUCCGGAAUUAUUGGGCGUAAAGAGCUCGUAGGCGGUCUGUCGCGUCGGCUGUGAAAACUCGGGGCUCAACCCCGAGCCUGCAGUCGAUACGGGCAGACUAGAGUGCUGUAGGGGAGACUGGAAUUCCUGGUGUAGCGGUGAAAUGCGCAGAUAUCAGGAGGAACACCGGUGGCGAAGGCGGGUCUCUGGGCAGUAACUGACGCUGAGGAGCGAAAGCGUGGGGAGCAAACAGGAUUAGAUACCCUAGUAGUCC
rnacentral:rRNA from 1 species